CUGGUUCUCUCCGAAAUAGCUUUAGGGCUAGCGUCGACAUAAAGAUUCUUGGAGGUAGAGCACUGUUUGGGUGAGGGGUCCAUCCCGGAUUACCAAUCUCAGAUAAACUCCGAAUGCCAAAGAAUUAUGGUCGGCAGUCAGACUGCGAGUGCUAAGAUCCGUAGUCGAAAGGGAAACAGCCCAGACCACCAGCUAAGGUCCCAAAAUAAUUGUUAAGUGGAAAAGGAUGUGGGGUUGCACAGACAACUAGGAUGUUAGCUUAGAAGCAGCUAUUCAUUCAAAGAGUGCGUAAUAGCU
rnacentral:rRNA from 1 species